GGAAUUUUCCGCAAUGGGCGAAAGCCUGACGGAGCAACGCCGCGUGAGGGAUGAAGGCCUCUGGGCUGUAAACCUCUUUUACCAAGGAAGAAGAUCUGACGGUACUUGAUGAAUAAGCCACGGCUAAUUCCGUGCCAGCAGCCGCGGUAAUACGGAGGAUGCAAGCGUUAUCCGGAAUUAUUGGGCGUAAAGCGUCUGUAGGUGGUUUGGUAAGUCUUGUGUUAAAUAUUAGGGCUUAACCCUAAAAAUGCAUCGGAAACUGCCAGACUUGAGUCCGGUGGAAGUAAAGGGAAUUCCCGGUGUAGCGGUGAAAUGCGUAGAUAUCGGGAAGAACACCAGUGGCGAAGGCGCUCUGCUGGGCCACAACUGACGCUCAUGGACGAAAGCCAGGGGAACGAAAGGGAUUAGAUACCCCAGUAGUC
rnacentral:rRNA from 1 species